CCCGGUGUCCAUAGCGGUGGGGCAACACCCGGUCCCAUUCCGAACCCGGCAGUUAAGCCCACCAGCGCCCAUGAUACUGGCUGCGAGAGCGGUCGGAAAAGUAGGUCGAUGCCGGGG
rnacentral:rRNA from 1 species